AGGAAUGCUGCAUGGCCUCCCCAGAGCGGAGGUGGGAGCCUCGGCCGGGGAGAGCCCGCUCGGGGGCAGGAAGUGGCCCGGCCCUCCUCGUGGAGGGUGUUUCCGGAGCGCUUACUGUGCUCCUCGCCGGAGAGGGGUCGUUACCGAGGGGGAACUUCUGUAAAUCGUGACUUUUGUCAUUUCGCGCCCCCCACAAGAUGUCCUGCCGGCGGUGCGAUUGCUCCCGUUGCUUCGAGGGGAAACUGAGGCCGGUUAGUCCGGGCACUUACCCUCAGCUGGUAAAGGACUGGGCUCUGAUGGGGACGCCUGUUACGACCUCAAGGGCCUGUAGAGUCUGGGAGGCCGCCUCCGACCUAAGCCCAAAAAACACAUGGUCGGGCUCACAGGGGGCGGCCAGAGGUGAAAACUGCCAGUGCUUUGCAGCGACGCUGUGCGGGGCACUUCGUGUGUGUCAUCCCGUCUCAUCCUCGGGUGAUGGGAACUGUUCAUUCGGGAAAAUUGCAAACAGCUAAGUACCCCUCACCAGGAGCUGGCCCAUUAUAGCAACUCUGAGACCUCUCUACUACAGGCUCUUAAAAUGGGUGAUUCUGUCCAAGAUAAGUACUCCAGAGAAAUUCUCCCAUGUCGUGGCAGAAAGACAUGCACCAGUGUUGAUGAAACGCUGAAAACACCAAAAAGGCCUGGGCACAGUGGCUCACGCCUGUAAUCCCAGCACUUUGGGAGGCCCAGGCAGGCGGAUCACCGGAGGUCGGGAGUUCGAGACCAGCCUGACCAACAUGGAGAA